rnacentral:misc_RNA from 1 species
AGCAAUCAUUACUGCAGUUGGGUUCUGAAUUUGCAUCUCUUUCAACAAUGUAUUACCAUCCUUGGUAAGCUUAAUGUCACCAGCACCACCAACAAGCAUCUUGAUGGUUCCUUUAGGACCAAGAUUUGUCUUUAGAACAUCCUGUAAACCCUUGGCGGCGUUGAUGUUCAUGUGAAGCGCCGCAGAUUUAUUGAGCACCUCUGCAUUUGGAUUCAGAACCUUAACAGACAUCUUCGCCAAAAGAAAUGGAAGCUACACCAGAUCCCAGAUCGAUAAUGGAGAGUUUACAGAGAGAACGAACAAGUUUU